UUUAACAAAAAUCACCGUGAACUCUACUCCCCUCUGUAUGUAUAAAAAAGUAUUACUUUUAUUCCAUACCCAAACGGCAUGUUUUUUGUAAAUUCGAAACGAAAAAUAAUCAAUAAACGUGAGCUGCAGCCAAGCUCCGGGUUCAUAUGCUCCAUUGCUCUCACAAGUAAAAUGCCAUACGUAAACUUGUCGCUUUUCCUCGCACAGCAGCAACCAACAAUCCACCCAACGAUAAUAAAUAAUUGCAAACUAAAAUAUAUAGUUGAGUUGGCAAUCAACUUAUGCAAACGCUUUAUUAACUUAAAUAACAACUGCAAUAGUGUUAAAAAUUAUUAUAAGCAUUUUUCUCUUCUAUAUUUUAAAAGCAAAUUUUUCGUAAUUCCUUUUUUUAACGUGAGUGUAUGUGUGCGUGUAAUUUUAAUUGAUCCCGCCAAUCAAAGAAAUAAUCAAAUCAAAAUAACAAACAUACAUAUGCACAUACAUAUGUAGGUACAUUGAGGUUGAAAAAACAAAAAAAAAACAAAAACAAAUGAAUUUAAACUUAAAAAAAAUACAUCCGUCAUAUUUAAGGUAAAUAUUACAAAUACGAUUUAGAAAAGUGUAUUUAGGGUAUUCAUUUCUUUAUACAUAUAUGUAUAUGUAUUUGUAAAAUAAGCGCAUCAACCAGACAAAUUAACCACACAUCUCCAACCACAUAAAAACUAUUAAUUUAAAUUUGCCUCUACGGGUCGGUCGUCUCAUUUACUCUCCCUCUCCAGCAGCACACUCACUCAUACGUACAGCCCGAUUCAGCGCCUAUUUCAUUACAUUUCAGCUGCUUAGCAGCACACUACUCGCUAUAUUCCUUUUCAAUUCGUUUGUAUAUCGACUAAAUUUGUUCAUUAUUAUUUGCUGUAUACUGUGUGUUUGACUUAUGUACUUAAUUAAUUGUAGACUUUGCGUGAAGGUACGUUUAAAAAAUAAAAUAAACCAAAAAAAGUACAGGGUACGGCAAUUUAAGUGAUACUAAAUAAAAAUGCCAAAUUUUCGUCAUUUAUGAACGAACUUUGUUGAAUUAAACACAAAGGGUUGACAAAUGAAUUUUCAUCAUUAGGGUCGAGAAUUUUAAUAAUUUUUCUUGAGUUUUUUUUUUUUAUAUGGAGUUUUGAAAGUUCUUGAGAUCUGCACACCACGCUUCAAACUCAAAAAGAAUUGCAGCUGUUAACGAUUAUAAUUGGACUCUCGAGUAUUUCCCAAUUUCCAGCGAUGAAGAUUCCGAUGUUAUUUGUCGAACUAGACGAAUGUUUACAGACAAUAACAUAAAAACAAUUGCAUAUCGGCUGAGAUAUAGAAAUUGCAGAGAAUCAAAAUAAUUUAUCUCAAAUGGAGAAUAAGGAAUAUUUAAAAAAAAUUAAAUUCAGUUUUGAAAAGAAAUUAAGGUUUCAUAUUUUUGUGUAAUAUAAACCGCAUUAUUUUUUAUUUAAUAAUAAUAGAAAAGUGGCAACUACAUCGAUACACUAUCAUUACUGGAAAUAUCUAAUUUUAAAUUCAGUCCAGUCACAUAAAUGGAUAUGGAAAGGUCGUUUUCCGCCUGUUCAACGCUCUUAAACGACCAGCGCAGAUCUAUGUUAUUUGAGAAUAUCAAUCAGUUUUUACUGGCUAACCAAAAUGUAGUACCACAGCGACAUGCAAUUUCGCUAGCUACAUCAGCUACAUCAGUAAUAAUACACCACAACCACAGCUACAUAUUGUGGACAGUUUAGAGCAUUUAGAAUAGUUUAACUUUUGACAGCUCUGGCUACAUACCACAGACUCACCAUUGUGGUGUGCCAGUUAAGAUAAUUAAUUUGACAAACCUUUUUGCUUAACUCAACAAAAUUCAUUUAAAAAUAAAGAAAAUAUGACAUUUUUAUUAGGUAGCACUUAAAUUCGUUGUACCCUGUAGCUGUGCUAAAUUAACAUUUUCAUACAAACAACAAUGCAUUGAGGAUGUGUUUUUUGUGUAAAUAUAUGUAUGGGCGAAGGGUCGCAUUCACAUUGGCGAAUUAACUUUCGUUUCAGUACAAAAAUCGAAUGUAAACUGGCAAAGGAGCUGGAACUCGUCACUAUGAAAACGGUCCUAAGGAUGUCUGUGUAUAUGUGUGAGUGUGCAAUUUUUGUCGGUGUUUAGCGCUAGUAAUUCAAAUAGACAAACAUUACUAUUUUUGUUUGUUGCCUUUUUAUGUACUAUGCGAAUAUGCGUGUAUGUUUUAUUAUGUAUGCAAGCACAUAAUUUUCGUACAUACAUAUGUAUGUAUUAAAUUUGAUUUUUAGUUCUGUAGAUUUUUAUAAUCUAUGCAUGUAGUAUGUAUUAUACAUAAGAUACACAUAUAUAUAUAUAUAUAUAUCAAGUUCUUAUGCAUACACAUAGUUAUAUUUUAUAAGUAUAGAUAUAUGUAUAUGUAUGUAUGCAUGUUUGUAUAAGUUUUUGUGUAUAUACUAUGCUUAGGCAAAUUAGUCAACUUAUCGUAUAGUACCACAAAUACAAUUUAACUUAUGCAACUAGAAAAUAGUUUAUGUAUACAUAUUUAUAUUUAAUACAAAUUUAAUUUCAGUUUACAGUUGUAAAUUAAUUACUACACACAUACAUGUAUAUAUGUAUGUAUGCAUGCAUGUAUGUAUGUAUGGAUUUAGCUUAGGCUGGGAAAACAUCGUCAUCAUUAUCAUCAGCAAAACCUCAUUUGUGAUCUAGCACAAAACACACACACACACACACCACAGAGAUGAAUUUAUGUAUGUGCAUAUACUAUGUAUGUAUGUAUGUAAGUAUGCAGUUCGUCACACCUACCAACUAACAACUACCUAUCUAUUUACAAUUCCUAAUUCUGAUUUUUGUAUUUAUUUAGUUUAUAACAAAAAUUUCAUGGUUAAUUGUCAUUUCAAUUUCGAUGCAUAAAAUCAAACUUGCAUAAACUUUGUAGAUGUAUGUACAUACAUAUUUUUGUAUACACAUACACUUCGGGGUUUUAUUAAUCUAUGAUAUACAUACAUGAAUAGUUUAUCCUUUGUUACUUCUAAAAUGGCACAUACAUACACACAUAGGCGUAUGUACAUACAAUUGUGUGAGAAAAUAAAACAUAAUUGAUAUGACUAUGCAUGCCUUGUACGGUGUUAAAAACUAAUUAAGGUAUAUUUCUCAACCUUCCCAACCUCUUUAAAAAAAAA